rnacentral:rRNA from 1 species
ACGUACGCUGGCGGCACGCCUAACACAUGCAAGUCGAACGAAGUAGCAAUACUUAGUGGCAGACGGGUGAGUAACAUGUAGGUAUCUGCCCUUUGGCCUGGAAUAACACGAGGAAACUUGUGCUAAUACCGGAUAAGUCUUUACGGAGAAAGCUUUAUGCACCAUUGGAUGAGCCUGCACUUGAUUAGUUUGUUGGUGGGGUAAUGGCCUACCAAGACUGUGAUCAAUAGCUGAUUUGAGAGGAUGAUCAGCCACAUUGGGACUGAGACACGGCCCAAACUCCUACGGGAGGCAGCAGUGGGGAAUCUUGCACAAUGGAGGAAACUCUGAUGCAGCGAUGCCGCGUGAGUGAAGAAGGCCCUUGGGUUGUAAAGCUCUUUCGUCGGGGAAGAAAAUGACUGUACCCGAAUAAGAAGGUCCGGCUAACUUCGUGCCAGCAGCCGCGGUAAUACGAAGGGACCUAGCGUAGUUCGGAAUUACUGGGCUUAAAGAGUUCGUAGGUGGUUGAAAAAGUUAGUGGUGAAAUCCCAGAGCUUAACUCUGGAACUGCCAUUAAAACUUUUCAGCUAGAGUAUGAUAGAGGAAAGCAGAAUUUCUAGUGUAGAGGUGAAAUUCGUAGAUAUUAGAAAGAAUACCAAUUGCGAAGGCAGCUUUCUGGAUCAUUACUGACACUGAGGAACGAAAGCAUGGGUAGCGAAGAGGAUUAGAUACCCUCGUAGUCCAUGCCGUAAACGAUGUGUGUUAGACGUUGGAAAUUUAUUUUCAGUGUCGCAGGGAAACCGAUAAACACACCGCCUGGGGAGUACGACCGCAAGGUUAAAACUCAAAUGAAUUGACGGGGACCCGCACAAGUAGUGGAGCAUGUGGUUUAAUUCGAAGAUACGCGCAGAACCUUACCAACACUUGACAUGUUCGUCGCGACUCUAAGAGAUUAGAGUUUUCGGUUCGGCCGGACGAAACACAGGUGCUGCAUGGCUGUCGUCAGCUCGUGUCGUGAGAUGUUGGGUUAAGUCCCGCAACGAGCGCAACCCUCACUUUUAGUUGCCAUCAUUAAGUUGGGCACUCUGAAAGAACUGCCAGUGAUAAGCUGGAGGAAGGUGGGGAUGACGUCAAGUCCUCAUGGCCCUUACGUGUUGGGCUACACACGUGCUACAAUGGUAUCUACAACAGGAAGCAAGACUGCGAAGUUAAGCAAAUCCCUAAAAGAUACCUCAGUUCGGAUUGCACUCUGCAACUCGAGUGCAUGAAGCUGGAAUUACUAGUAAUCGUGGAUCAGCGUGCCACGGUGAAUGCGUUCCCGGGUCUUGUACACACCGCCCGUCACACCAUGGGAGUUGGUUCUACCUUAAGGCAAGGUUUCAAACCCUUGACCACGGUAUAGUCAGCGA